ensembl:lncRNA
GGUCUAUUCAUUUAUUUAUUUAAUACAUAUUCUCAAUAGUUCACUAUCUGUCCAUUGUUUUCUAAGCCAUACACACAUUUGUCCCAGGACAAUUUUGGCAAUACAGAGAAAAAAGAUAGAGAGAAUGAGCAAUUGGGUUAUUUGAGGUUCAUUGAAGGCUACAUGACAAAUGCAAGGGACAUUUCAUAUAAAAAGCACACAGGUUUUAUUGCAUAUCAAUUUCAUGUAUAAAUUCUUCAUAACAUUGGAAAGAUUACAUUUGGUAUACAUUUCUAUCAUCAGAAUCAUAUCAUUUCAAUAACAUUUCUUCAAUAAUCACAAGCAUUAAAAAAACUGCAAUUUCAGAAUUGAUCCAUGUUAUUCUACAAUCCUUUCAUUUUUUUUAUUACAUCUCUCUGCCACAAGCUUUUUUAUAGUCAUUUAAGAACCACCUGCACAAUACAUUUGUAUUGUAUUGAUUUGAAGUCAAACCUACUAACCCAACCACGUACAAUAAGUGCAUCUACAGAUUCAUUUCUUUUUAAAAUUUCACUUUUAAAUUUAAGAUGCACAUUUCACAAAUGGACAUCAUUAUGACUGCUAAACACAUCAUGCACAAUAUAUAUUUUUUAUAAACAUUAACAGAGGUGAUACAACUCAGAUUCAAAUGAAACGAGCACCAUCCAUUUAACCCAUUUCUUUUCAUUGAAUGUUUUGGACAUAAUGCAACAUUGUUUGUGAAAAUACUAUACCCUGGUUAGCUGAAAACAUAAUGAAAACGAUGAGCGCGCUUCAAUGGGGCAGACGUCUUGUGUGUUGUGAUUCUGGAUGGCCACAUAGCUAGCUAGCAACAAUGACAAGAAGCUGACAUGUGAAUCGUGGGUAACUCGUUUCAGCUAGUUUUACCUUGUUCUUGAUACCAUGUCUUUGUUUUGAGGUGUUUUGAUUGAUGACACUUCUAUGUUAAUAUGGCAAAAAAAAUGCUAGCUAGCUAAGCAACAACUGUAACUAUGUAUUUGAGAGACAACAAUGUGAUCUUUGACUUCAAUGUGGAUCCAUAACAGCGCACACUUAUUACAGUAGUACAUUUCCACAAACUUCAAAGUGUUUCCUUUCAAAUAGUACCAAGAAUAUGCAUAUCCUUGCUUCAGGUCCUGAGCAACAGGCAGUUAGAUUUGGGUAUGUUAUUUUAGGAAAACAUUUUUAAAAAGGGGCGGAUCCUUAAGAGGAUUUAUGCAGCAAAACUAGUAUCACCCUGCCACCUGCUGACAAAAGAAAUGAUUACAGUGCUUCAAUUAGAUGUAGAUUUUUUUUCCCAAGGUCAUCAUUAUUUUAAGUGAGGCCAGUCAGGUUUACUCCUCACAGUACAGUAAAUGUGUUAUGCUGGGUGUUAAAACCCCUUACAGACAAUAAAUACAUCUCAGACACAGCUGAAGUAAGGGGUGAAUUAUCAAGCUAUUUUUUCAUUUUUUAUUUAACUAGGCAAGUCACUAGAGUCAAUACAACUUACAGAACCAUUUGACCCUGAGAGUAAAGCUACUUCAAGUAAGGUGGGUUAGCCUCGUGGUUAGAGUGUUGGACUAGUAACUGGAAGGUUGCAAGUUCAAACCCCUGAGCUGACAAGGUACAAAUCUGUUGUUCUGCCCCUGAACAGGCAGUUAACCCACUGUUCCUAGGCCAGCAUUGAAAAUAAGAAUUUGUUCUUAACUGACUUGCCUGGUUAAAUAAAGGUAAAAAAAAAAAGUCAGUGCUAUCCGGGAUCCUUACCUUAGCCAUUUUACAUUUCAAUGGGGUCCCAAGGAUUCCGGAUAGCACAGACCCUUCAACUAAAGAGUGGAAAUAUGAUGGCAUGGUACACUGUAGUUGGACACUAUCUGACAAACAACGUCUAUUUCAUCUAUGAUGGGGCUGAGAUGUUCUUUUCUACAACCACAUGGUCACAUUUAAAAAUAAGAAUUCCUACAAAAUGGAAACCAUUCACGCAGAAUCGGAGCACUGAUAAACUGGUUAAGUUAACAUGUUGAUGGGAUUUAUUGUAGAGUAAAAGUGAUUUGCUCAAACUUAGGAUAAAUUACAAGCUAACAAUACAAUGCCCUGGCAUCCAAAUCACCUGACAAUCAUAGUAAAGGCUGCAAUUUCCAAAAUAGCCAAUGUAAGAAUUCAACCACCUUGAACACAAAACACUCAGCAUACUGGUUGCAUUUGUUCAACUGAAGCGAGAAUCAUCAAACCACACGAUAGACACAACAUUGCAAACAUGAUCUAAAUCAGUGGUUCCCAACCUUUUCCAGUUAUUGUACCACCAACUGAAUUUUGCUCUGCCCGUAGUACCCCUGAAGUACCCCUUCAUGUGCAUUUUACCAGUAGGCCCAUAGUCUCCUCAAGUACCCCCUGUGGAUAGACCAAGUACCCCACAGGGGUUCUAGUACCCCUGGUUGGGAACCACUGAUCUAAACAACCUAGAACUACCAUGUCACUAUAAAUAAAAGCAUCCGAUUGGCACACUGGUCUUUACACAAAAAAGCAUUGAAACCGAGACUCACAAUCUCACUUGCGUUUCGAUUCAAUUUCAUUCCUUCAGCAACAAGUAAAAGAGAGAGAGAAAAAAAACACUUUUUCAGUUGUCACUUGUCUCCAAUCGUGACCCCAAAAUGUUUACCCAAAUAAAUAGAAUCCACCCAGUCUUUAAAUGAAAUAUAGAAGAAAGUAAUCACAUCAUCUUUGACAGCUAUGAAAACCCUUGGAAAAGAAAUGCUUGUCAGGGAACAAAUCCUUUUCUACGGGUUAUUUGGCACAUACCACUCUUGCCAUGAACGUCCAGGUUAUUUUGUACAUCAUACAACAAUAUCACACAAUUUUGGCCCUUCACUAUUUAUAUAUUUAUAUUAACAUUUGAGCACGGAGGUGCCUAAAAAGAGACAAUACUGUUUAUCAAAAAGCAAAACACAAAAUGGAAUCAAGUUAACAAAUGAGCAAAAGAGGGGAAAAUACAUUAUCCCCUACUCUAACCAAUGGUUGUCAAUGUAAAAUCUCUUGCUCACCAGGCGAGACUUUGUCCUCUGUAAUGCACAUUAUAUGUUGGGGGUGGGUCAACCUCCAUGAUAUCAUCGUCCUGUACUUUCUUUAUAAACCAGAGUGCCGUUUCCUGCUGUAACACUCAGCAUUGUGGUAUUACUGAUUUCAAACAGGAAUGGAGAGUGUGAAGUCAUUUGAUAAGAUGAGGAGGAUGGGGGGAGUUCUUUGGGUGAAUGAGCUAGUACUCCCCCAUUAUGUGUUGAUACUUUUGCUCCUCCCACCGAGUGAGAAGAGCGCCCCCCUAUGGACAUGCAAUGCACAUAUUCCAGACCUACUGUCACUGUAUAUGAAGCUAUUGAGAAAUUGCUGUUGUAGACUGUGUCUAGAUAAACGUUUUGCUCCCCUAGUAAUGCAGUGGCAUACUGAAACGUGACUGUCUCUGAGAGUUCAACUAGAGGGCUUCGCUGGAAUGGAGUGGGGUGGUCCUUCCUGGGACGUCCUUCACCCCUCUACACGGGUGGAGCAGUGCUACUUUGAUCUCUGCCUGUGAGUGUCUAUCUUAGAGGCCCCCCCGUACACACUCACACACACACAGAAGGGCAGGAGCCACAAAUCCUCUCUCUUCUCAGGCCAGGACUAUGUGUUGUUGAGUUCUCCUCCGCAGUAGGCUUCAUCCCUCCUCCUAACUCUCUUAGAUGUGUCUGAGUGGGUAAAAACUGCUCGUCUCGGACGGCCCCCCUCCCAUGCUCAGCCAGGCAUCCAGUGAGUUCUGGGAGGAUGCGUGCAAAGGGUUGUUCUCCGACAGAGAAAGCAUCAUUACAUAAGCCUGGAGGAGACAGAGAAACAACAAAAAGACACCACCGUUGUUCAGAAACCACUUUGUGAGUCUCCGAGUUAAUUGUUAGCCAAUCAAACGUGGGUGUCAUUAUUGUCAAUAAAACCCAAGAGCUGUUCCGUCUCGGAUUAGGAGCAUCACUUUAACCAUUGCAACAUGUCUUGGCAUGCAAGAGGUCAAAGGUGAGAGAGCACUGUGAUGCUGCUGCUUGGAGAGUAGUUAGAUGAGAGGUUUAGAAAAGAGGGAGAGAGUUAAUAGCUCAGUUAGUAGGUAAGCUAGGAGAGGGGAGAGCAUGUCAAUGAGAAUAAAUACUUGUUGUUAUUCACGGACUUUCAUCCCGACACUCCAUAAAGCCACAUUGAACAACCUGGCAUCGUGUUUUGGCCUGGUUGUCAUGCAUUUUCCUCAUUGUCUUUUUGUAUUUCCCCUUACCGAACUCAAGCCUUUGGAAGGACGUUCAAAAUUAUUUGCCACUUGCUGUCUCCAUCCUGGUAGCCCAGUGGUUAGCCGAUCAACAGUAAUCGGUUACUGUUGGACUAGUAACCGAAAGAUUGCUGGAUUCAAUCCCCGAGCUGACAAUGUAAAAAUCUGUCGUUCUGCCCCUGAGCAAGGCAGUUAACCCACUGUUCCCCGGGCGCCGAAGAUGUGGAUGUCGAUUAAGGCAGCCACCCAUACCUCUCUGAUGCAGAGGUGGGUAGGCCCUCCAGGUCUAAUAGCCCACCAUCCUCCUCUAUACACCAUUGUUGGCCUUCUGCAGGUCCAGACCGUUGGGGAGGCAGGGUAGGCCCUCCAGGUCUAAUAGCCCACCAUCCUCCUCUAUACACCAUUGUAGGCCUUAUGCAGGCCCAGACCGUUGGGAAGCAGGGUAGGCCCUCCAGGUCUAACAUUCCACCAUCCUCCUCUAUACACCAUUGUUGGCCUUAUGCAGGUCCAGACCGUUGGGGAAGCUGGGUAGGCCCUCCAGGUCUAAUAGCCUACCAUCCUCCUCUGUACACCCGCAGCAGCACCGGGGGAAGGGGAGGGGAAGAGCAGGGAGGAAGGAUAAAGGGGAGGGGUAAGCUGAGAGGAGAGGGGAUGAUGGAGUAAGUAAAUAGAGAAGACGGGGGAGGGAGGGAUAAAGAUAGGGACGGGGUAAGGAGAGGUUGUGGAGGAGGAAGGGGAAGGUGCAGUGAGGGAGGGGGGGGUUGUCCUCAGUUAGCCUAACCAAUACUAUCUUGUAACUCGAUGGAUGGACUUUUGAUGGUGCAUGCAUGAGGGACAGAUGGAUGGACGGAUGGAUGGAGACGGACGAAUGGGAUAGAUGGUAUGGAUUUGUUGUCUGAAAACAGUUCACACUACUACCGCUGAAAACCAACUUGACUGAAACCCCACUAGAGAACCUGCAAAGGGCAUGAUUGUUUUCCUCGUCG